AUGAAAAGAGGCAUACCUGCUUCACCAACUCCCACAAAGGGGGAGGCAUCAAGCUCAAAAAUUAUAAAGAAGGAAGAAUCCCCAAAAUAUAAGACAUAUCAAGAAUGCCUUCUAAAGGGGCUUGACCCUUUAGACAGUGAAUACAUAGAUCAAGAAAUGGAUAAAAGGUUUGAAGAAUUUUCAAAGAUAAUAAAGAAAGAAUUAAAGGAGGAAAUAUUAAAAGAAUUAAGGCAAGAAAUGGAUGAAAAAUUUGAGGAAAUAAAGAAAGAAUAUGAUGAAAAAUAUGAUUUCAAUCUGAUAAAUGAUGAUGAUCAUAUGGACAUAGCAGGGCAUGGGCAGCGGCCAGAAUAA
rnacentral:rRNA from 1 species